UGGGGAAUUUUGGACAAUGGGGGAAACCCUGAUCCAGCCAUCCCGCGUGUGCGAUGAAGGCCUUCGGGUUGUAAAGCACUUUUGGCAGGAAAGAAACGUCAUGGGUUAAUACCCCGUGAAACUGACGGUACCUGCAGAAUAAGCACCGGCUAACUACGUGCCAGCAGCCGCGGUAAUACGUAGGGUGCAAGCGUUAAUCGGAAUUACUGGGCGUAAAGCGUGCGCAGGCGGUUCGGAAAGAAAGAUGUGAAAUCCCAGAGCUCAACUUUGGAACUGCAUUUUUAACUACCUGGCUAGGGUGUGUCAGAGGGAGGUGGAAUUCCUCGUGUAGCAGUGAAAUGCGUAGAUAUGCGGAGGAACACCGAUGGCGAAGGCAGCCUCCUGGGAUAACACUGACGCUCAUGCACGAAAGCGUGGGGAGCAAACAGG
rnacentral:rRNA from 1 species